rnacentral:lncRNA from 1 species
GUGAAAUAUAGUAAUAAAGUCUUUGGGAAAAAUUGUGUUUGAUGAGUAAGGGGACCUCCAAAGUUACCCUGGAGUUUGGCAAAUAUUAUUUGUGUCAAUUGAAGAGUUUCAGUCUAUAUUUGAAAGGAAACUUCUUGUUUUGUUGUUUGUUGUUUUUGUUGUUGCUGCUGCUGUGGUUUCUGUUGUUGUUGUCUUUCCUCUUCCUCUUCCCCCUCCUCCUCUUUCUUCUUCUUCCUCCUCCUCUCUUCUUUCCUUCUUUUUCUUUUCCUCAUCACUAUUUACAUCACCCUUUUCCAGUUCUUUCAGUGUUUCAUCAAGUGCCAAGGGGUUCUUUCAAAAUACACUAUUUCGACACUAAAAGUAUACACCAAUUGUCUCUGUUAGGAUUAUAUUUGCCUGCAUGGAAUGGAAAAUUCCAGAACAAUGUGAUGUAAACAUACAAGGGCUCAUGAUCUCACAUUGAGGACAUCCAAGGUCAGCCGUCCAGGUGUCAUCAACCUGACAAGUAGAAGGAGGGAGAGAUAAGGUCACACAUCAAACUACUGGCAGAACUUGGACAGCUGGAAAACAAGACGCAUUUUGUAACUUGAACAACAGAACUCCAAAUGAUUUCUAAAUUUAGCUCAUUUUGAACUUGCUUUUUUUCUCCUUAUCUUCUUUUUUCCGAUUUCUUUCUGCUCUUGUUGGUUUUAUCUUCCCUUUGCAGCAUCCAUGUAAUGAAAUGCACUGCUUGGUCCUUUUCAUGAGGAAGACAGAAGGUGUCAGAAACACAGAAGUCGCUAUCUCUGAGAUGGUGAGGCAUCUACUUAUGGCCCUGACGGGAUAUUUGGGAAGUAAGGAGAUGCACCGCCCAGGGCUCAGAAAGGGAACAUAAGUGCAAAGACUCGGUUACAGAGAAUUCAUGUGGUUACAAAAUGGGACACAGGGUCCCAUUGACUUGGUCAUUUUUUGGUGCUUUUGGCUUUUUCUUCUAUUAGUAUCUGUUCAGUUGUACUAAUAUCAUAAGAAGGCAGUGGGUGUGGUAGAACAGGAUGUGAGCUUUGAUUUCAGAUCUUUUGGGCUUACAUUCAGAAACUAUCUAGCUACUAAUUAAGUGUCUUGGGUAAGCUGUUUCCAUAGCCUCAAUUUGCUCGCGUGUUAAAUAGAGAUAAUGGUCUCUACUCCACAGGCUGGUUGUCAGGAUUAAAUGAGAUAAUGAACAUUAAUGUUUUGGCCUUUCUACUCUAAACAAAUACCAACGAACUGUACAAAAACAAGUCAUGUGGAAAUUCAUGUUUAUGGAAUCAGAAAAAGAAAUAGUUGUACUUUAUUCCAAGAACAAGGAGAUGGAGCCAGUGGUUUGAAUGCUUUUACAAAUUUAGCCAUGAUCUGACAAAGGCAAAUGCGUUCCUUCAGCUAUUCGGGAAUUUCAUCCCAACCCCAUGGUAGGUGUGCUCUCGCCGGACGGAGCGUGGAUGGUCACCCACCCACAGAGGAAGUGCUCCCAGGUGGUGUUUACUGGGGAAGAAGAGCAUGGUGCGGAUGAUCUGUGAGAGUGUGGAAGAGGAGGUGGCAGCUGGAGCACCAAUGGUGUGGAUCUGGGCUCCGCACAUGGCCCAGGAGCCAGGCGCAUGCGGUCCAAUCCUACCACUUUACCAGUUCUGUAACUUCAGACAAGUCACGAACCUCUGGGCGCCUAAGUUUCCUCCUGAUUGUGCUUCUGCAUAGAGCUUUAGGGAAGACUGCAUGGAAAGUGCUCAGAACAGGGGCUGCAAUACACAGCGUAUGCACUCAAUAAGGGUUAGAACUAUCAUCAUCACUAAUUAUUAAUUAUUAUUGAUUUUAGGAUCUUGCAAGACUCAGACCUCCAUGCUCUGGUCUGGAUAUCCCUCAGUGAAAAAGGAGGCCAGCAGGUAGGGGGAUCCUGGACCAUCCCUGCGUGUGUGUAUCCAAGGAUAGAUCUGAGGAAAAGCAGCUCACACUUGCCCCUUCCAUGCCAUCCCCUGCCCUCCACCCAACCACUUAAGUGAAAUCACAUGGAAAAUAAAGAACACUCUAAAUGGCAAAAAGAAGAGCAGAAAUGUCAGCUGUUGUCAG